GACGAACGCUGGCGGCGUGCUUAACACAUGCAAGUCGAACGGAAAGGCCCUGCUUUUGUGGGGUGCUCGAGUGGCGAACGGGUGAGUAACACGUGAGUAACCUGCCCUUGACUUUGGGAUAACUUCAGGAAACUGGGGCUAAUACCGGAUAGGAGCUCCUGCUGCAUGGUGGGGGUUGGAAAGUUUCGGCGGUUGGGGAUGGACUCGCGGCUUAUCAGCUUGUUGGUGGGGUAGUGGCUUACCAAGGCUUUGACGGGUAGCCGGCCUGAGAGGGUGACCGGCCACAUUGGGACUGAGAUACGGCCCAGACUCCUACGGGAGGCAGCGGUGGGGAAUAUUGCACAAUGGGCGGAAGCCUGAUGCAGCAACGCCGCGUGCGGGAUGACGGCCUUCGGGUUGUAAACCGCUUUCGCCUGUGACGAAGCGUGAGUGACGGUAAUGGGUAAAGAAGCAGCGGCUAACUACGUG
rnacentral:rRNA from 1 species